GAUGAACGCUGGCGGCGUGCCUAAUACAUGCAAGUCGAGCGAACAGACGAGGAGCUUGCUCCUCUGACGUUAGCGGCGGACGGGUGAGUAACACGUGGAUAACCUACCUAUAAGACUGGGAUAACUUCGGGAAACCGGAGCUAAUACCGGAUAAUAUAUUGAACCGCAUGGUUCAAUAGUGAAAGACGGUUUUGCUGUCACUUAUAGAUGGAUCCGCGCCGCAUUAGCUAGUUGGUAAGGUAACGGCUUACCAAGGCAACGAUGCGUAGCCGACCUGAGAGGGUGAUCGGCCACCCUGGAACUGAGACACGGUCCAGGCGCCUACGGGAGGCAGCAGUAGGGAAUCUGCCGCAAUGGGCGAAAGCCUGGCGGAGCAACGCCGCGUGAGUGAUGAAGGUCUUCGGAUCGUAAAACUCUGUUAUUAGGGAAGAACAAAUGUGGAAGUAACUAUGCACGUCUUGACGGUACCUAAUCAGAAAGCCACGGCUAACUACGUG
rnacentral:rRNA from 1 species